UUUGUUUGUUUGUGUAUCAAAUAUUUAAACUGGAAAAUUAAGUUCCUAAAUGCCCAAAUCAGCCUCAUUCUGAUUUUUCAGAUGUAUCCAGAAAUACUGGAAGAAUGAUUUGACGAGAAUUUACAGUUCAUCUCAGAGUAUAAAGGAAGUGCAAUAAAGACCCCUGUUCUGUGCUUGGACAGUUCUGGAUAGCCAAAGGUCAGUCCUAAAUCCUUCCUUGCAUUCUUGUUUAUUUCCUUUUAAAUAUUAUUUCUUUUCAAUAUUAUUUCGUACAGACAAGACAAUUUUAUACAGACAAAUCCAUGAAAACAGCGUUAGCCAUUUCCCAAAUUCUCUGAGUUAUUCUCACCAUUGUCAGUGAGUGACACAAAUAAAAGCAUUUAACACCACACUGCACAACAUGUAGUCUCUGUUUGAAUAUUUACUGAAAGCCUAAAUGUGGAGGUUUUAGGGGUUUUUUUUGUUAGGGUUGGGAUUAAAUCUAUGAGAUGGUAUUUUUGUUUAGAUUUAGAUGUUUAUUAGUUUUUAUUAUAGUUUUAUAAACUGUGAGUUUUAUAGUACUUUAUCUUAAUAAACUAAAAAUGGAGUUGUAUCUUUCUCCCUAUAAGAUCUUUUGAGGAUAAGCUGUCUAACUAAGAAAUGACAUUAAAUUAUUUUAAUUGUUAACUAACUACUUGUGGUCCGCAAUGUGGACUUUUUUAUUUAAUUACUUUUGAAAAAAUAUUUAAUUAUUUUUAUUAAUUAAAAUUUUAAAUAUAUUAAAUUAUUUAUUUUAUUUUAUUACUUUUUUAUUUAAUGAAAUACCACUCAAACCCAUGGAGAAGGUGAAGAAGGACUAGUCUCUGCCCUAAAACUUCUCUCUUGUUUUAUAUAUAUUAUUAUAUUGUAAAACUUUAAACUCUAAGUUUUCCCCUGUGUGAUAUUACACACUUCUAUCUAAACUACACACUUAUAAUCUUAAUUCUAUAUUUCAAUUUUGGAAGCCUUCUCCACGGCCUCAGGUCAAUGCAGUGGUUUUUUUGGGAGGUCAGAGUCUGUCAGCACGGAAAGUUUGAAAUUCUCAGCAGCCAGGGUUCCCACAUCUAAACUAUAAAAUACGUGUUUGUCACAUACAAACAUAAUAUAUAUAUUUGUCACACUAAAAUAUACGAUCUACACAGGGCCAGGUGAUAAAUUACACUGGCCCUGUAAAUUAAAUAUUUACUACAUUAAAGCAGUUCAGAGUGGUUACAAACUGUGCUGUACCAAAAUAGUUGUAAUUAAUAUAGAAAUAAUAUAAAUAAAUAUUAAUAUAAUAAUAUAAGUAUAUAUAAAUAUAAUAAAUAAUAUAAUUUAAAUAAAUAUACAAUAUGUAUACUAUAGUAAUAUAGAAAUUAUAUUACGUAUAAAUAUAUUACUUAUAUAAUUAUAUAAAUUAUAGAAAUAUAUUACUAUAUAUCAAUAUAUAAUUAUAUAUUCUAAAUAAUAUAAAAUAUGUAAUAUAUUAUAACCAUAUACUUAUUUAUAUAUAUUAUAAAUUAUAUAAUUAUUAUUAUAAAUAAGAAUUUGCAAGAGCCAGUAUAUAAUAGGGAAAGCCAACAAUUCUGGAGUUAUUUAGAAAGAGCUGAGGGACUCCAGCAGCUGGGGAGGAUUUUCCAUGGCUGGUUUUCCCAGGACUUCUGCCUGGGAUUGGCCUGAAUUAUUGUUGGGGUUUAUUUGUUUAUUUAUUAGAUUUGAUUAGGGUUUAUUUAUUUCUUAUUAGGUUUUAUUUGUAAUUUGUUAG
ensembl:lncRNA